UCCUACGGGAGGCAGCAGUGGGGAAUAUUGGACAAUGGGCGAAAGCCUGAUCCAGCCAUGCCGCGUGUGUGAAGAAGGUCUUCGGAUUGUAAAGCACUUUAAGUUGGGAGGAAGGGUUGUAGAUUAAUACUCUGCAGCUUUGACGUUACCGACAGAAUAAGCACCGGCUAACUCUGUGCCAGCAGCCGCGGUA
rnacentral:rRNA from 1 species